rnacentral:rRNA from 1 species
GACGAACGCUGGCGGCGCGCUUAACACAUGCAAGUCGAACGGAAAGGCCUGCUUUCCCUUGUGGAUUGCGGGUACUCGAGUGGCGAACGGGUGAGUAACACGUGAGUGAUCUGCCCCCAACUUGGGUAUAAGCCUGGGAAACUGGGUCUAAUUCCCGAUAGGACUGCAGGGUGGUGCCUGUGGUGGAAAACGAUUUUCUAGUGGUUGGGGAUGAGCUCGCGGCCUAUCAGCUUGUUGGUGGGGUAAUGGCCUACCAAGGCGGCGACGGGUAGCCGGCCUGAGAGGGUGGACGGCCACAUUGGGACUGAGAUACGGCCCAGACUCCUACGGGAGGCAGCAGUGAGGAAUAUUACACAAUGGGCGGAAGCCUGAUGCAGCGACGCCGCGUGGGGGAUGACGGCCUUCGGGUUGUAAACUCCUUUCGACCGCGAGGAAGCCACCUGGUUGGAAGGGUGGUGACGGUAGUGGUAGAAGAAGCACCGGCUAACUACGUG